AUGGGCAGAAAAGUUAUCUGGUGGAUCUGUGUACAACUUGCAGACGUAACAUACGGGUUUCCUGAGAUUUUUGCCGUCGAAGGUGCCACAAAGAUCAUAUGUGUGAAAAAGCCUGCUUGCCUAACUUCAUCUCUAAUGAAAAACUUUGUGGUACCGACCAUGGAGAAGGUUAUUGAUGAGGAGAGAAAAGUCUCACACUUGUCACUGAUGUAUGACACAGAGAAGGUUAUUAUUGAUCCUUUGAAGGCCAAGGAGAAGUUGAAGCCUGAAAAUAUUGAUAUAUGCUACCCUCCUGUCUUCUAA
rnacentral:rRNA from 1 species